UAUACGACCGUACCGCAAACCGACACUGGUGCGCGAGAUGAGUAUUCUAAGGCGCUUGAGAGAACUCAGGAGAAGGAACUCGGCAAAUUGACACCGUAACUUCGGAAGAAGGUGUGCCCUAUUAGUGUGUAGUGAACAACGAAGCAUGAAUGGGUUGCAAAAAAUCGGUGGCUGCGACUGUUUAUUAAAAACACAGCACUCUGCAAACACGAAAGUGGACGUAUAGGGUGUGACGCCUGCCCGGUGCUGGAAGAUUAAAUGAUGGGGUGCAAGCUCUUGAUUGAAGUCCCAGUAAACGGCGGCCGUAACAAUAACGGUCCUAAGGUAGCGAAAUUCCUUGUCGGGUAAGUUCCGACCUGCACGAAUGGCGUAACGAUGGCCACACUGUCUCCUCCUGAGACUCAGCGAAGUUGAAAUGUUUGUGAUGAUGCAAUCUCCCCGCGGAAAGACGGAAAGACCCCAUGAACCUUUACUGUAGCUUGGUAUUGGACUUUGAACAGAUCUGUGUAGGAUAGGUGGGAGGCUUUGAAGCAGGGUCGCUAGAUCUUGUGGAGCCAACGUUGAAAUACCACCCUGGUGUGUUUGAGGUUCUAACCUAGGUCCAUUAUCUGGAUCGGGGACAGUGCAUGGUAGGCAGUUUGACUGGGGCGGUCUCCUCCCAAAGCGUAACGGAGGAGUUCGAAGGUACGCUAGUUACGGUCGGACAUCGUGACGAUAGUGCAAUGGCAUAAGCGUGCUUAACUGCGAGACUGACAAGUCGAGCAGAUGCGAAAGCAGGACAUAGUGAUCCGGUGGUUCUGUAUGGAAGGGCCAUCGCUCAACGGAUAAAAGGUACUCUGGGGAUAACAGGCUGAUACCGCCCAAGAGUUCAUAUCGACGGCGGUGUUUGGCACCUCGAUGUCGGCUCAUCUCAUCCUGGGGCUGUAGCCGGUCCCAAGGGUAUGGCUGUUCGCCAUUUAAAGAGGUACGUGAGCUGGGUUUAAAACGUCGUGAGACAGUUUGGUCCCUAUCUUCCGUGGGCGCUGCAGAUUUGAGGAAGCCUGCUCCUAGUACGAGAGGACCGGAGUGGACACACCUCUGGUGUAUCGGUUGUCACGCCAGUGGCAUUGCCGAGUAGCUAAGUGUGGAAGAGAUAACCGCUGAAAGCAUCUAAGCGGGAAACUCGUUUCAAGAUGAGAUCUGCCGGGGCCUUGAGCCCCCUAAAGAGUCGUUCAAGACCAGGACGUUGAUAGGUCAGGUGUGGAAGC
rnacentral:rRNA from 1 species